rnacentral:rRNA from 1 species
GAGUAACACGUGGGUAACCUACCCAUCAGAGGGGGAUAACACUUGGAAACAGGUGCUAAUACCGCAUAACAGUUUAUGCCGCAUGGCAUAAGAGUGAAAGGCGCUUUCGGGUGUCGCUGAUGGAUGGACCCGCGGUGCAUUAGCUAGUUGGUGAGGUAACGGCUCACCAAGGCCACGAUGCAUAGCCGACCUGAGAGGGUGAUCGGCCACACUGGGACUGAGACACGGCCCAGACUCCUACGGGAGGCAGCAGUAGGGAAUCUUCGGCAAUGGACGAAAGUCUGACCGAGCAACGCCGCGUGAGUGAAGAAGGUUUUCGGAUCGUAAAACUCUGUUGUUAGAGAAGAACAAGGACGUUAGUAACUGAACGUCCCCUGACGGUAUCUAACCAGAAAGCCACGGCUAACUACGUGCCAGCAGCCGCGGUAAUACGUAGGUGGCAAGCGUUGUCCGGAUUUAUUGGGCGUAAAGCGAGCGCAGGCGGUUUCUUAAGUCUGAUGUGAAAGCCCCCGGCUCAACCGGGGAGGGUCAUUGGAAACUGGGAGACUUGAGUGCAGAAGAGGAGAGUGGAAUUCCAUG